AACUCCAUCAGAAUCAACACACUUUUGCCAACGCGAAACAAGUUUAUUUAUGUCAUUAGCAUAAAAAUCCUGUGUUCUGGUGGCGUUGAAGUCGUGUACUUGUGAAGGAAAG